GCAACGGGAAGAAUUGCUCACAUACCAGUAAGCGAGGCUUAUUUAGGUCGUGUUAUAAACGCCUUGGCUAAACCUAUUGAUGGCCGAGUAUAAAGGCAAGC